rnacentral:rRNA from 1 species
CAGCCGCCGGGGAAUACAGAGGGUGCAAGCGUUAAUCGGAAUUACUGGGCGUAAAGCGCGCGUAGGUGGUUUGUUAAGUUGGAUGUGAAAGCCCCGGGCUCAACCUGGGAACUGCAUCCAAAACUGGCAAGCUAGAGUACGGUAGAGGGUGGUGGAAUUUCCUGUGUAGCGGUGAAAUGCGUAGAUAUAGGAAGGAACACCAGUGGCGAAGGCGACCACCUGGACUGAUACUGACACUGAGGUGCGAAAGCGUGGGGAGCAAACAGGAUUAGAUACCCCCGUAGUCCCUGUCUCUUAUACA